rnacentral:rRNA from 1 species
UACGUAGGGGGCAAGCGUUGUCCGGAUUUAUUGGGCGUAAAGAGCGUGUAGGCGGCUUGGUAGGUCCGCUGUGAAAACUCGAGGCUCAACCUCGAGAUGUCGGCGGAAACCACUUGGCUAGAGUCCGGAAGAGGAGAGUGGAAUUCCCGGUGUAGCGGUGAAAUGCGCAGAUAUCGGGAGGAACACCUGUGGCGAAGGCGGCCGACUGGGCCGACCCUGACGCUGAGGCGCGAAGGCGUGGGGAGCGAACGGG